UGUUCUCCUUUGCUCUUUUUUUCUGUUUUGGUCUGUUUUCUCUCUUGCCUUCAGGUGGGGUGUGUGAUACAGAGAACAGCAGCUUCCCAGCCACCAAGGUGCUGUGUGAGUAUGGAAAACAGGAGCAAGAAUGGGUCAAGAAAUAGGAAAAACCGUGUGGAGUGUUCAUCAAAGGACAUGGAGCUGCUGGAACAUUUCUUCAGCCUUUGGAAAUCCAGCAUCCCAAGCAAAAUUAAACUGGCAGAGAAAACUGAAGCAAGAAGGGAAGUCUGUGCACUUAGAGAGAAAAUUAAAGUUUUUUUUAAACUGGAAUUGUCUGUGACAAGUGUGACAAGGCUUGGCUACUAAAAGGCUGUGUUGCAAGAUAA